CUCUCCUAGUCCUGUCUUUUACAGACGCCUGUCAGCAGAUGCAAGGUGUGAGUGGGUUUCAGUCUGCUUGCUGGUUCUGUCUCAUAAGCGAGAAACUUUUUGCCCACUAAGCUCUUUUCUCUGCCUUGUUUUUCACCACAUGUGUCACGGCCAGAUUAAAUCAGCAACCCCUAAUAAACAGCAGAUGAGGAGAAAUGACCAGAACUCUCAUGGGACAGUCACUCGGGGACUUCCUGUAAAACACAGGUAGUCAGCAUAAAGCGAACAGAAAUGGCCCUCCGUACCAGAGUUCAGACGGAGGAGCACUGCAGCUGCAGAAGAUGAUUCAUCAAUAACAGCACAAUGAGGAGCAUACACUGCAGCCUCCCUCCAUUCUGUCCCACUCCUCCUCCUCCGUUCUCUUGCUCUAUCUCAAUCAGCCAGCUGUGCUUAACUGCAGGCUCUCUAGGCCGCAAUGUUGACAUGACCUGCUCCGAAUGGCAGGCAACCUAAACAAUGCCGCAAACAGGCCGGCGCAUAUCUGGCACACAGGCGCUGCACAGGGAGGAGGAGUAACACAAAGAAAAGAAGGGGAGGGAGAAAAAGGAAAAGAAAAACAACCAGGCGACCAAUGGCCGGGCCGGAAACUCUGCUUUUUCCAGCAGUAGCGCAGCAGCGCAGGGUUAAGUUUUGGCUUGGUUUGAUUUUGCUGAUGCCAGGAAAAACUCCAGUGGAGAGAAUCGCUAACUGAUCGCUUGAGGUGGCCUCAUGUAGAAGGACACUUACUGGUGCAUCGUUCUACUGUGCAGUGUUGGUUGGAAGAAUGGAAGAAUCCUCAACCUGUAACCUCAAAUCAGCAUCUGGAGUAUGCAAAGCAUCAUGUAGAUCAGCCAGAGGCAUUUUGGAAACAAGUUCUGUGGAAUGAUGAAGUGAAAUGGAACAAAAGCACAAAAGCUUCAUUUGGAGAUCAAAAGAGCAGCAUAUGAUGAAAAGAACACCGUGCAAGCUGUUAAGCAUGGGGGUAGACCUGUGGUGCUUUGGGGUUGUGUGGCAGCCAGUGGCACAGGAAACAUUGCUCAGGUACACAGAAGAAUGUAUUCCACUACAAAUCAGCAAAUUUCUGAAGCAAAUGUGAUAGUAUAGCUUUUUCUGGAAUGCCCUCAUAGUGAACUGACUUGAACAUUAUUGAAAAUCUGUGGAGGGUAGAUCCCCAACAUGCUGUUCAUGGAAGCCCAAGAAUACUGCAGAACUACAAGCAUUCCACAAGGAAGAAAAAUUCCUAAAACAAGACAAGAAAACUCCAAUCUGGCCAUAAAAAGUGUUUGCAUGCCGUGAUAUACAUACAAUCAGGCUUAACAUUCUGACCACCCCCUUGUUUCUCCACUCAUUGUUCAUUUUAUCAGCUCCACUUACUGUAUAGCUGCA